CCUUUGAUAGUGACAGUGACCCAGAUGACCCUGAGCCUUUCCAUGGUUUUGAUGCCUCGCCCUAUACAUCAGAUGUAGAUGUUCCCUCAUCAGUUGAUACAAGUAUCACCUCCCCAGAGCCCAAAUCAGUUGAUACGAGUAGUAUCACCUCUCCCAUUCCUUCAGACUCCCAAGCACCUGCCCAUCCCACUCCAUAGCCCAGCCACC